CGCCUUCCGUCGAGGUUCUCCUCCUUUUCCUUUUUUCGAGGUUUCUUUUGCGGUGUGUUGAUUUUUUAUUAUUUUUUCAAGAGCAGGAGAAAGAGAAGCACCCGCCAGGGGCGUUUUACAAGAAGUACGAAUCCUCCUCUUUCCUUGCCCGGCCCCGGGCGUGGGGGGGCCGGGCCCCUCUCCGCAGGGUCCCCCCGCCCGCCCCCCCUCUGGGUGUCCCC